CGGCGUGAGGGCCAUCAGACUGCAGUCCUCCAGGCCUGACCGGGCUGACCUGGUCCUGCAGGUUGGUGUCCCCUUCCUCCCUCAUGGCUCCAUAUGCAUCCCCAGAACUGUAUGCUUGGUUGAAGAAGAGGUCCCUCCUUAUAGAAGAGGCUCACUCUUUAGUUAAGGCUGCGUGGAUGGCCGCACUUCCUUACUAGAACUUUCAGGUGAGCGCUGGACAUCGUGUUUCUACUCAACAGAGAUCACGUUUACAUCUUCACAUGGUCAGACAUCCUAACUCUAUCCUUGU
rnacentral:snRNA from 1 species